rnacentral:rRNA from 1 species
UACGUAGGUGACAAGCGUUGUCCGGAUUUACUGGGCGUAAAGAGCGCGCAGGCGGUCGUUCAAGUCGAGUGUGAAAGCCCCCGGCUCAACUGGGGAGGGUCACUCGAUACUGAUCGACUCGAAGGCAGGAGAGGGUAGUGGAAUUCCCGGUGAUAGUGGUGAAAUGCGUAGAUAUCGGGAGGAACACCAGUGGCGAAGGCGACUACCUGGCCUGUUCUUGACGCUGAGGCGCGAAAGCUAGGGGAGCAAACGGG